GGAUAACGCUGGCGGCGUGCCUAACACAUGCAAGUCGAACGUCCCUUUUGCGCAAGUGAGAGGGAGUGGCGGACGGGUGAGUACCACGUGGGUACCUACCUUGAGGUGAGGAAUACCACCGAGAAAUCGGUGACAAGACCGCAUACGCUUGGCAACAAGCAAAGUCUCGCAAGAGACGCCACAAGAUGGGCCUGCGCCUGAUUAGCUAGUUGGUGAGUAAUGGCNCACCAAGGCGACGAUCAGUAGCUGGUCUGAGAGGAUGAUCAGCCACACUGGGAUUGAGAACGG
rnacentral:rRNA from 1 species